rnacentral:lncRNA from 1 species
AACACUGUCAACGACCCUCUAAAAAAAGUGAAAAAGCUCAGAACACAAAUCAAACUCUCGAACCUUACAAUUUGCGAAGGUCCAAUGUGUUACACGCACACUAAUAGGUGCUGUAACAAUUGCACAGAAUCUCUCUCAACAAUACACAAUUUCAGUUUAGUAGCUCAGAAUCUGUUCCCUUUCGCUGGAGUCCUUCUGAAUAUCCGUUUGCGCUCAAUUUGAUAGUCAGGCUCGGUUUAAUUUAAAUAGAAGAAAGAAAUAUUAAUCUUUCAGUUUCGACCAUUUUUGGUCACCGAAAGCUCUACCGAACUGAAAUCUCUAGCAAAUAGCAGUCGGAUUUUAUUUUCCACCUUCCGGGUGUCAGAAUGACAUGAAACUUUAAAUCUAGCCUCAGUAAUUCUGACAUAUUCCCCAGUUUUCAUAAUUUUCUGACAUUGCAUUUUUUGCUAAAAUAUCAGCCCCGCUCUAAACAAAAAAUUCUAAAUCUUCUGUUUCCAUUCCGAUUUCAGCACAAGUCAUUUCCGACUUAUGUUUUACUUCUCUAAGUCCAAUAAAAAUAGUAUCUUCCACUAUUGUUAUUUACACUUAAUUUUAUAUUAAAAUCUGGUACAUUACAUUCCACCGUAACUUCAUAACUUCAGAAGUUCGGCUCCUUACAUCUACUGAGUUUCGGUACCUACGUGUAUUAGUACCGGUACCAAGUCAAUUUCGUAAAAUUUGAGAGUUGUCCCAACCAAUGCGCAAUAGGGUUUGAGUGCCCAAAUUCGGUACUUGUACGCAAUUGCCAAAAUUGCAACUUUUGCAAAUUUUGGCCUAUAGAGUCCAUUUCGCGCUACUUAAGCUCCAAAAACACUCCCAAACUUUUCAAACUCAGUCAAAAUUCAGAAUAGUAUAAAAUACUAUUUCUCUCACUAGAAUCUCAUAAUUUGCUAUAUCUAAUAAUUCGAAUAUUUGUGAUAGGAUUCGUCCACAUUGGGACUUAUCUAAAAUAUUUCUAAUCCAUAUGGGAUAAGAAAUAAUUAUUUAUAAUUAUCUGUUAUAUUCCUAGUCCACUUGGGAUAAAGAAUAAAUCUAACAGAUAAAUCCUAAUCUGUUUAAAUCUCUAUCUAUAUGAGAUUUUGUUAGAAUAUGAUUAUGAUUAAUAUCUUCCUUAUGGCCUAUAAAUACAUAAGGUAUUGACCACAUACAAGACAACGAGAAAAAUAAGAAUCAUCUCUCCACCAAAAUUCUCUCUCUUAGGUUCGCUCUAGGGCACCAUCAUAAACCCUAGGGAUUUGGGCGGUGUGCGGCGAUCGACUCUAGUAGCCGGAUUACAACGAGUAAAAACAACGUGCGGCGAUCGACUCUAGUAGCCGGAUUACAACGAGUAAGAACAACGUGCAACAAAUUGAGACAGGACGUUGGCGGAUCAACGAGUUCGUAAAACAUGACGAGAUCAGAUCCUGGUAAUCACAACAUUAAUUCCGCACCAUAAAGAGGUAUGUAAAAAUCUAUGUGAUUUUUGCGACGAUUGAUUUUUGGGUAUUUAAUUAAUUUUAUCCAACAGUGGUAUCAGAGCCAUAUAGUGCUUGUUUUCGUUCGAUGAUUCGUUUUUUU